rnacentral:rRNA from 1 species
GACGAACGCUGGCGGCAGGCUUAACACAUGCAAGUCGAACGCCCUCUUCGGAGGGAGUGGCAGACGGGUGAGUAACGCGUGGGAAUCUACCCUAUUCUACGGAACAACAGUUAGAAAUGACUGCUAAUACCGUAUACGCCCCCGGGGAAAGAUUUAUCGGAGUAGGAUGAGCCGCUGGUCUGAGAGGAUGAUCAGCCACACUGGGACUGAGACACGGCCCAGACUCCUACGGGAGGCAGCAGUGGGGAAUAUUGGACAAUGGGCGCAAGCCUGAUCCAGCCAUGCCGCGUGUGUGAUGAAGGCCCUAGGGUUGUAAAGCACUUUCAACGGUGAAGAU